ensembl:lncRNA
GCGGGGCUACAUUGGAGAGUCGUGGGCGUGGAGAAGCAGCGAUUGGUGCUGGGGCGGGCGGUGUUUUGAGUGCGCGCGCGCGCAGGCGGGAGCGCGUACGUCGGCAGCGCGGAAGUUAGGGUCUCGAGGAGGCUGCCACCGGCUGAUCCUUCCUCCGGCGGCCGCCCUCCGUGGCCAGUUGUCGGACUCCGGGAAGUAGGCGCUGAGGGCUCGCCCCCUGCGUAUGUGAGCGCUUCUGUCUCUCUGGCGGCUACGCACGGCUGUCGCUCUGGAGAGACUGAGGAGGAAACGGGGGUGGGAGGGGAUUGCGACUGCAGUGGGACGCGGGAGCGGCGGAAGCACCGCGCUGGAGCGGUCCGGUGGCGUCGCCGGGCUUCCUUGCCCUCCCUCCGCCCGGCCGGGCUGGCUCGGAUCCCCGGGUCGAGCGCGCUGCUGCGUCACACCAGGCAGCCAGGCCGCCACUGUUGAGCAUCUCCGGCCGCCUCCCACGCCCGGGCGAGUGCACGGCCCGAGCUCCCGAGCCGAAGCGAAAGAAUGCGAGCUCAGGUUGUUGACGUCCUGUGACGCUGCUGGAUUGCAUUUGUGGGUGACCGUUGCCUGGUUCAGAAAAGAACUUUCACCAUCUUUGCUUUCUAGGUCCCUCCCUGGAGGGCGGAUUAAAGGAUGCCGCGACGAAUCGCAAAAGAACAAAAGCUCUCCAGGGACGCUGGAUAACUUCAAAGCUUAUCCCACACAGUUUGUCUUGGGCAAGACAAAGACGCCAUCAUGGCUAUUUUCUUGCUGCCAAACAACCAGGCUUCCAGCUGGAUGGACUAAAAGUGUUUUGCAACCUUACUUGAAGAUUGAGCAGAGCCUGAUUUCAGGGAAAAUGAGAAAUGAAUUGUUGGGAGUACAUGGACAGGCAGUUGGAAUGCACCGGCCUUUGAGGGGCUGGUGUUGAAGAAAUAAAUGAAAUGGG